UGACGGUACCUGAAGAAUAAGAUCCGGCUAACUCCGUGCCAGCAGCCGCGGUAAUACGGAGGGAUCUAGCGUUAUUCGGAAUUACUGGGCGUAAAGCGAGCGUAGGCUGAUUUGUAAGUUGGAUGUGAAAUCCCAGAGCUUAACUCUGGAACUGCAUCCAAAACUAUAUUUCUUGAGUUUGGUAGAGGAGAGUGGAAUUCCUAGUGUAGAGGUGAAAUUCGUAGAUAUUAGGAGGAACACCAGUGGCGAAGGCGACUCUCUGGGCCAAUACUGACGCUGAGGUUCGAAAGCGUGGGUAGCGAACAGGAUUAGAUACCCUGGUAGUCCACGCAGUAAACGAUGAAUGCUAGAUGUUGGAAACAUUAGUUUUCAGUAUCGCAGCUAACGCAUUAAGCAUUCCGCCUGGGAAGUACGGCCGCAAGGCUAAAACUCAAAUGAAUUGACGGGGACCCGCACAAGCGGUGGAUCAUGUGGUUUAAUUCGAAGCAACGCGAAGAACCUUACCGGCCCUUGACAUACCAAUCGCGAACUUAAGAGAUUAAGUUUUUCACUUCGGGUGGAUUGGAUACAGGUGCUGCAUGGCUGUCGUCAGCUCGUGUCGUGAGAUGUUGGGUUAAGUCCCGCAACGAGCGCAACCCCUACCUUCAAUUGCCAGCACGUUAUGGUGGGAACUUUGAAGGAACUGCCGGUGAUAAGCCGGAGGAAGGUGGGGAUGACGUCAAGUCCUCAUGGCCCUUACGGGCCGGGCUACACACGUGAUACAAUGGUAACUACAAAGAGCAGCGAUGGAGCAAUCUUCAGCAAAUCUCCAAAAGUUACCUCAGUUCGGAUUGUACUCUGCAACUCGAGUACAUGAAGUUGGAAUCGCUAGUAAUCGUAGAUCAGCGCGCUACGGUGAAUACGUUCCCGGGUCUUGUACACACCGCCCGUCACACCAUGGGAGUUGGUUUUACCUGAAGCUGGUUUGCUAACCGUAAGGAGGCAGCCAACCACGGUAGGAUUAGCGACUGGGGUGAAGUCGUAACAAGGUAACCGUAGGGGAACCUGCGGUUG
rnacentral:rRNA from 1 species